AUCGAGGAGCUGUGUCACCGAUAAUGCGCUGUUGUCACAGUCUUUUUUUUUGGCUCCUAUCCCACCGCGUCAGACUGGCCGGCUUUAUAAUCCUCAGGGUGAACAAAAAAUGGAUUUGGUCGGCGUAAACAACACUUGAGGCUGCCGGAAUGUUUCCUGGCACGGCUCUCCUCCCCGCCUCCGCUGCGUCUCCAGAGGCUCUGGACAACAGACGGGUCACAGCGAAGCCACAUUUCAAAUCCGGUGUGCAGAUGGACACCAGUGGCGGUGAUGCUAAAUCCUGCGCCACUUGGCAACACGGCGGCAGUAAGGUUUGUCGACCUGCCUGAUCCCACAGGAGACCCGAUGCGUGCUUUGGCAUGAUUGCAACAAAAGAUAAUGUACCCAUCUUUGUGCAUCACAAUGUAAAUACAGUAAUAGACAUGAAUUCAUUAAUUGAAUACCUCAUUUGACAAUAAGGCUUAUCCGAUC